rnacentral:rRNA from 1 species
AGCAGCCGCGGUAAUUCCAGCUCCAAUAGCGUAUAUUAAAGUUGUUGCAGUUAAAAAGCUCGUAGUUGAAUUUCGGGGUCAGUAGGUUGGUCGUGCCACCGGUACGUACUGGUCUCACUGAUUCCUCCUUCCUGAUGAGCUGUAAUGCCAUUAAUUUGGUGUUGCAGGGAAUCUGGACUGUUACUUUGAAAAAUUAGAGUGUUUAAAGCAGGCUAACGCUUGAAUACAUUAGCAUGGAAUAAUGAAAUAGGACGUUCGAUCCUAUUUUGUUGGUUUCUAGGAUUGACGUAAUGAUUAAUAGGGAUAGUUGGGGGCAUUAGUAUUCAAUUGUCAGAGGUGAAAUUCUUGGAUUUAUUGAAGACUAACUACUGCGAAAGCAUUUGCCAAGGAUGUUUUCAUUAAUCAAGAACGAAAGUUAGGGGAUCGAAGACGAUCAGAUACCGUCGUAGU